GGUGAAAAGCACCCCGGAAGGGGAGUGAAAUAGAACCUGAAACCGUGUGCUUACAAGUAGUCAGAGCCCGUUAAUGGGUGAUGGCGUGCCUUUUGUAGAAUGAACCGGCGAGUUACGAUUUGAUGCAAGGUUAAGCAGUAAAUGUGGAGCCGUAGCGAAAGCGAGUCUGAAUAGGGCGUUUAGUAUUUGGUCGUAGACCCGAAACCAGGUGAUCUACCCUUGGUCAGGUUGAAGUUCAGGUAACACUGAAUGGAGGACCGAACCGACUUACGUUGAAAAGUGAGCGGAUGAACUGAGGGUAGCGGAGAAAUUCCAAUCGAACCUGGAGAUAGCUGGUUCUCUCCGAAAUAGCUUUAGGGCUAGCCUCAAGUGAUGAUUAUUGGAGGUAGAGCACUGUUUGGACGAGGGGCCCCUCUCGGGUUACCGAAUUCAGACAAACUCCGAAUGCCAAUUAAUUUAACUUGGGAGUCAGAACAUGGGUGAUAAGGUCCGUGUUCGAAAGGGAAACAGCCCAGACCACCAGCUAAGGUCCCAAAAUAUAUGUUAAGUGGAAAAGGAUGUGGCGUUGCCCAGACAACUAGGAUGUUGGCUUAGAAGCAGCCAUCAUUUAAAGAGUGCGUAAUAGCUCACUAGUCGAGUGACACUGCGCCGAAAAUGUACCGGGGCUAAACAUAUUACCGAAGCUGUGGAUUGUCCUUUGGACAAUGGUAGGAGAGCGUUCUAAGGGCGUUGAAGCAUGAUCGUAAGGACAUGUGGAGCGCUUAGAAGUGAGAAUGCCGGUGUGAGUAGCGAAAGACGGGUGAGAAUCCCGUCCACCGAUUGACUAAGGUUUCCAGAGGAAGGCUCGUCCGCUCUGGGUUAGUCGGGUCCUAAGCUGAGGCCGACAGGCGUAGGCGAUGGAUAACAGGUUGAUAUUCCUGUACCACCUAUAAUCGUUUUAAUCGAUGGGGGGACGCAGUAGGAUAGGCGAAGCGUGCGAUUGGAUUGCACGUCUAAGCAGUAAGGCUGAGUAUUAGGCAAAUCCGGUACUCAUUAAGGCUGAGCUGUGAUGGGGAGAAGACAUUGUGUCUUCGAGUCGUUGAUUUCACACUGCCGAGAAAAGCCUCUAGAUAGAAAAUAGGUGCCCGUACCGCAAACCGACACAGGUAGUCAAGAUGAGAAUUCUAAGGUGAGCGAGCGAACUCUCGUUAAGGAACUCGGCAAAAUGACCCCGUAACUUCGGGAGAAGGGGUGCUCUUUAGGGUUAACGCCCAGAAGAGCCGCAGUGAAUAGGCCCAAGCGACUGUUUAUCAAAAACACAGGUCUCUGCUAAACCGUAAGGUGAUGUAUAGGGGCUGACGCCUGCCCGGUGCUGGAAGGUUAAGAGGAGUGGUUAGCUUCUGCGAAGCUACGAAUCGAAGCCCCAGUAAACGGCGGCCGUAACUAUAACGGUCCUAAGGUAGCGAAAUUCCUUGUCGGGUAAGUUCCGACCCGCACGAAAGGCGUAACGAUUUGGGCACUGUCU
rnacentral:rRNA from 1 species